AUGGAAAACAAUCACUGAUCAACUGGACCAGCUGUUCGUUCUGGGUCCAAAAAAAAAAUCUGAAUUUAUAGAAGUAGCAAGACGUUUGUUGCAGCUGUGCAGUAAACUGCUCAUGGUGGUUCUGUGCGGUAUGGGUCAGAUCAAAACACUGAGAUUCUGUCUGCAUGUUGGAUCAUCACCAUGCCGAAUUAUAAAACAGGUCGCUGUGAUUCUUAGAAUGUGUUCAGUUAUGUUGGUGCUGGUCCACACGCUUGUCUAUGAGGAAGGAAACUUUAAUUUGCUCGAUUUUUAAAUGAGGUUUGGUACAGCACUGAAGCAUGGAGCAGAGAAUUGCACAUUUCUGUGAUAAUUCUUACAUUUUAACAAUCCCUCCACACAUGUAUUAACAUCUCCACUAUGUUUGCCAUGUUUUACACAUCAACAAAGUGUAAGGAAAGUCUACUGUGAUUUAAUCUAACCUCAUAUUGAAGUCCACACUGGUUUUUGGUAAAUGUCCAAAACCUGACAGCUGAGAUCAGGUUCAGUUAGCUGGUGACACGUUUUUUCUGUAUAAUCUCAGGUAUGCGAGUGCUUUGUCAUCAACAGUAAGAUAUGUUAUUCAGCUGACACACCUCAUCUUACAUAAAGUCUCUCACAGACGUUGCACUCAGGUGACAUCAGCCAGCGAGGCUAAGGGAGAAGCUAAUUUAGCCUCCAUGCUACACAGGCCAGCUGAUUCAAGCAGGUGCAGCUGCCUGAGCUUAAUCAGAAUAAUGUAAUAAAUAUGUUGAGAAGAUCUGCCUCCAUCACAUGUCUCCUCGCUGCUUCCCGUCCAGAUGUGUGCAGAUGUUCAGGAGGACUCACAAUAACAAACCUCCCUCCUCUCUAAUCUGCAUAGCAACAGCCCGCGCGGCUCUCCUCCUCCUCUCUCCUCGUGCAGCACCGGGAUCGGCACUGGGAGCCAAUCCCGUCGGCCGUUCCGCGUGACGUCUUGUUUGUUGACACUUCCAUUAGCUCGCCACCUGUGUGACGUCACUGCAGCAGGUCCAGGGCGGGGGGGCGGGGACGAACCAGAGCAGAGGAGGAGACAAAGAUCGUCCGAGCAGCGAGAGUCAGCCGCUCCGUGGACACGUCGGAAGGAAACUCUGCCUGGAAACACCGCGAGCUAAUCGGAACCGGCGGCCGACAGAGACGGACGAGUCUGCUGGAUACGAGGGGGUCGACUAGGUGUGACUGACGAUGGGAGGAGAGCAGAGCCACGAGACGAAGGAGAGAGAAGAAGAGAAACAGGAAGUGUCUGCCGGUCCGGACGGCUCAGGACCGGCUGCUUCUGGAGGUUCUGCUUCUGAAGGUUCUGCUUCUGAAGACUCCCCUGGAGAGCUGCCCCAGUGCAUGAUGGGAGACAGGAGGGUGGACAACAUGUGCUUCAUGAUCUCGUGCACCAACUGGUACUGAACCGGUUCUGAUAUAACCAGACUCUGAAGAUGUUGAUGUUAGUGGGAGGAGGUGGAGAAUGUGGACGCUGCAUUCAUGAACCCACUGAAAAUCCAAAACGAGGCUGUCGCUGCUCGCUGCGUGUCGAGAAGAAGAGUCGGGAGCUGCUGAUCGCUGAAUCGCUCGAUGGAUGAAAGCGGAUGUCGUCCUUUUUCUUUUUCUCAUAGAAGGACUAAAGGUUUAGUUUAGUUUAACUUCUGCACUGGAGCUUCCGUCUAUUAAACACUUCGGCCUCGUCUUGGAAAGGACGGGAGUUCCUGCCUGUCCGUGUGCAUUUUGCUUCUCAAACAGGAUUCAAGGCUGAUUUAGGAAGUGAUUAUCAUCAGUAAAUUAAAAUUAGAACAACACUUUGUGAAACUGAAAUGCUUUCUGUAAAAACAAGACAAAGACCGACUGUUCUGAAACAUCUUGGAGGUUUUGUGUUUGUCGUCUGGCUUCUGUUCUCAUGUUGAAGUGAGCGGUCUAAUAAAUAAGAACAAAAA